AGAGCAGGACAAGAAGCUCUGUCCUUCCUUGCUUCCAGAUCCUGCAGCCCUGUUUUCCAUGGAACAGCCUCUCCUGAUCCCAGCUCUGACAUUUCCUGCAGGGAAUAAGUGAUGGCAGUGACCCAUGAGGGCUGGGAGCACUGGGAGCACUGGGAGCACUGGGAAAACUGGGAGCCCAUUUAAUUCCAUGCCACAUUAACAACAGCCACUGACAUCCCUGUGAGCAAACAGGACCUGCAGCCCCUGUGAGCAUCAGCAGCCAGGGCUUCGUGCAUAGACAGCUCCAGUCAGGGCCCCUCUGAAAAUCAGCACCCUUAAGAAACCUUUUUUCCAGCAGCACUGGCUAUUUAGGCCAAUUUUUAGCAAUUUUAGUCAUUUUUGGCCUCCUCCACACAUCACUACUGCCCUGAGUGUCCCUGGAGUCAAGGGAACAGCAACAAAGCUUCAGAGGAGAACAAGCAAAUGUUCCUUCGGAUUUCAAUGGGGUGAAAUCACUCCAUGGCAUUUUUACAGCAGCAUGGAGGGACAGGAACGGCUUCAAACUGACAGAGAGCAGGGUGAGAGUGGGAGAAAGGAAGAUUAUGUGAAUUUAUCCAGAAGUUGGUCAAUCCCUUAAUCCCAGGAGGUCAGAGCCAUCCCACCUGGAUAAUCAGCUGGAUUUCACUCUCUCCUUGGUGGGCUGCUGCUUCCAAGAAAAUCUCAUUCCAAGACACAAAGAGCCAGGGGCCAAACCUGCUCCAGCUCUCCUGUGCUGGUCUCAGGAAGCAGAAUUUAAAGGCCCUCGUUCUGCAGCAUCUUGUCACUGUGUGACAGAUUCCCAAAGGGCAGCGUUCCCAGAGUUUCUGACAUGAUUCCUGUGCCUUCCCUGUCUCCCUCCCCACCAGACCCCGGCGAUGCCAGAUCGGAUCAGGGAGAUGGAAGAGCUCCCACAGGAACCUUGCAGCAGCUUUGUGUCACUUGGCUGCAGAGCAGAGGGGUCGGUCAGGCUGAUGGCACCGCUCUGAGGAGUCCAUGGAUCCACAUCCAGCUUCCAGGGAGCCAGGCAGCAACCACAGGUCUUGCUGGAAGUAUUGCCCAGAGGGAGCUGCACAUCCCAGAACAGCAGAAUUCAUGUUUAAUGGCUCUGCCCUGGCACACGGAGGGAGCUGGGCAGGAAAGGGCCCCCCCACCAGCAAGACACAAAGCCACAACAUCCCCAGUCUUGGGAGGCUUUUCCUGAGAUAAGUUGGUUAGAGCCUUUUUUCCUUGAAAGCUUGUGCCAGAAGCAGAAGGAGGAGUCGGAGUUCACCAGUUCAGGUUUCUCAAAGUUGUUUAUUGUCUCUUAUCUCUCAGUUUUUUCAGUGCCCUGCCAAGGUCCUUGCUGCAGCAAGGGCACGCGGUGACUCCCCCCAGGUCGGGAGGGCUCAGACCUUUGGUACCUUUUCUCUGACCCAACCAUCACCCAAGAUGUAUUUUUUAUUUACUGUUGAUUACCAAUACCUACUGCCUAUGUUAGACAGGUCACUUCCAUCCUAAACCAAUCCUCUGUGACCCACCACAGCAGAAGAUGGAGGACAAGGACAAGAAGGAAGAAGGACAAGGCCACACCCUGAUUCCUCCCUCUUGC